UCAUCCAUACUCGCGCAUAGUCGGAUUCUUACCGGUAAAGAUUCGGGUUUUGUUUAGCUCUAGACUUCCUGUGCAAAGAAAUGCUAAUUUAUUGCCCAAAAGGUCAUAUUCCAGGUUACUUUCUGCUUUUAUCUCUAGAAAACAUCAUCCUUUCGUUUCUUCUCCUUCAUACUUUCUCCAUAUCGAUCAAAUCUAUAUCAUAGGUUGAACUCCAAAGAGAAAAAAUUGACAGGUAUUGUUUCUGUAAGAAGAAAACUUGCAUUUUUUUGUUGAUUUUUUUUUGUUUGAUUUCCGAUCGGGAGAGACAGGGGUGGAGAGAGCACACACUGGUGUCUAUGUUGAAUCCUGAGAUUCCGGCUGCAUCUCUUCCCCAUAUAUCGGUUCAAUUCCCUUUUUUUCUUUGGAAAGUUAAAUUGAUCAACCAAUGAUCCAUAUGCACCAUAAAAUCAAAUUCAAAAGUCAAAAUCGUCUUGCUAUUUAGGUUUCUCUCCACCACCACCCGCCCUGAAAUCGAUGGUAACAACACUUGUAUAAAGAAAUUCGAGAGAGCCUCUCUAAAGAGAAACCACAAGUCUCUUACUUUAGUUGAAUCAUGACCACGUAGAUCAAAAAGUUUCCAUAGCUUUGAAAGAUGCACUGAUGGAGGAGAGAUCGAACAUAUAAUAUGUGUCAAAUGGUGGACCAUUGAUGAAUUCCCUUCAUCAUACUCAUCAAAACAAGAGUGUUACCCCCACCAUUCUAGACAAUAAUACCCUCCCAAUCCCAUAACAAUUUCAGAAAAAAAAAACAGCUUCAAAGUGAUGCGUAAAAACAAAUUUAUUGGUCGUAAAUUACUUACAUUAAAUCCACUUCCAAUAACAAUUAAACAAUUAAAAAUGGAGAUAUUGCGGCAUAUUGAAGCCAUAUAACAAGAAAAAUACAAUAGAUAGGUAACCCCUAUAUAUAUGAUCGGUUAAAUGUAAUUUCAUCCCCAUGGUCAUUUUUACCCA